rnacentral:tRNA from 1 species
AAUGAGAUGCCUGAUUUAAAAGGAUUAUUAUGAUAUAAUAAAUAAUGAAUAUAUUAUUCUCUCAUUA